CAACAGAAACGUAUGCGCUCAUGGUGACAAGAAUUGGAACUGCAUGAUGAUCUAGAACCGGUCGCAGAAGAUAUCGUCAUUCGACUUGAGGAUGUGCUGGAGUAUGUUGGUGAUUCUGUUAGACCGAUAAGGGAAGGCCUAGCGGUGUUAAGUGCUAACCAUAUUGUAUGCAUAGGUUACACCAGCAGAUCUGGUAUGUAUAUCCAUGCCAAAGGAUAUGUUUUACAAAGCUCUCAUCCUGGAGGGAUCCCACACGAAGUGUCACUCAAAAUUUGUCAAAAUCACCAGUUUUGGGACCUGAAUUGCUCUUGUAAGGCUGGUACAAGACGGUGUAAACAUAUCGUGGCGUGUUUGUUGCGAAUCAACCAGUAAGAGAAAAUAAUAUUUUGUUAAUUAUCCAACUCAAAAACUUUUUACUAUUUCAGAUGCAACAGACUCGAAAAAAUUUCCUGCACGGAUUCUGCCCAGGCUUGGGGAUAUUCAAAAAUUGAAAAAACAAGUCUUUGGGGUGCAAAACUGAUUCAAGACUUAUGUUGUGUGAGGCAACGUAAACCCAACAUUUGCGUUGACGUUGGAACGAAGGAGCAACUACUUUCAGAAUCUUUUCGAAAGAUUAUCGCUGUAUCAUCUCAAUCCGCAAUUGCUAAGCAUAUGGUUGGACGUCACGAAAACAUUAUUCAAUUUCGUACUGGUAUAAGCUCUAUUGCUCAUGUACAUACGGACAUUUAUUGUACAGAGCAGGAGUUGCAGUCUGUUCUUUUCAGUGGAAAUGAUGUGACAGAACUUGCUAAAACUCACUUC